UUUUGACUUAAUUAAACCAUAUUCUUAGUCAUAGUUUGUAUAUUUCUAGAAAAAUGAUGCAAGGGUAUGCAAAUGUUUUCCUUGUAUGUCAAUAUUUAUUGGGAUUCUAUUAUGCUAAGAGCUUAAGAGUCAUUAUUAUCGAAAAAAAUCAUAACUUUAAAUGCUGAAACAUAAAAAAUGAAUUGUGAAAAUCAAGUCACUUUUCAGUUAUUUAUUUAUUUAUUUUUGAUAGGACAAGAUCAUGCUAUUCUUGGUCAUUUCAGAUGAUUGCUCUUGUUGUUAUGAAAAUUGUAUCAGAUGUUGAUGGUAGAUCUUAUCUCGAUAUGAAAAGAAAAUUCUUCCUGCAAAUUCUUCUUGUAAAUAGUGUGUCAAAUUGGGUAGAGAUUUCCAAACUUCACUCAUAUUAGAAUUAUUCUGGAACAGUUAUAUGUCUGACAUUCUGGUCUCCACAAGUUAUUGCUGUUGACAUCGUAAUAACUAAUAAGUUGUCUGUAGGUGCAUCUGGUAGCACGAGAAUGAAUCUGAUUCAGCUUAUCUACUUGACACAUGUUUUGAAUAAGGUCUAUCUUGAACUUGAUUCCUAUCAAAUCCUAACUUGUCUAACCUAUCAAAUCGGAUGAAUUUGAUUCAACCUAGAAUCUGUUUAAGAUUCUGACCCAAAUCUGUUUGUGGAGAAUGUCACAUUAUGUUGUGGAAGAUGCCUUCAUUUAUUUACAUGGUUUAUCUGAAAGGAGUGUUGCCGAGUAUCUUGUUAUGUUAUUGUUUUUACACCAUAUACAUAUAUUAUUAUUACCUUUAAAAUCAUCUAGUUCUAGCUGACAUAACUAACAAUGACUAAACCCAUCACCCUGGCUUUCAGUCCUCCUAGUUUAGUUGGAUUCGUUUCAACUUAGAUCAAGAGCCAGACUAUGCCAGGCUUUUGUGGUCUAAAUCUUGAGAAAAUCUGACUGAUUUGCAGUCGACUGAUUAAUCAUCUUGGCACUUUGAAAUUGCCUAUUAGUUAGAAAUAUGAAAUGUUAGUGUUUUGUGUACUUUUCUUAUUUUACCAACUCACUAUUCCCUAUUCUUCAUGUUAGUAGGGCAAUUAAUGGCAUUAUACCUUUCCUUGUUGCAAAUUGCCAACGAGUUUACGGAAUUUGCCACUGGGAGAGUUGUUCCUGGUGGCUUCUUUGAAGCCGGUGACUUCUUGGAUAAUCAUGGGACCUAAUUUGAGAUAGAAUUAGCUUAGUAACUUCAGCUAAUUUAUUUUAUUCGUCUGGUUAAACAACUUUUAUGUGCUCUUUUGUUAAAAAGAAACAAUCAAAUGUCCAUUUUCUAGGUUUUGGUAACUCAUUUCUUGUCUAUCUACUUCUAG
rnacentral:lncRNA from 1 species